rnacentral:lncRNA from 1 species
AUACAUAUUAUGUAUAUAAAGACUAUCCCAACAGACUUACUUUUCUUGCAUUUGCUUUCAAGAGUGUUUCAUAUAUUUUCCACAAGAGUCUGCUAAUAUUUUGCUAGAUCCGUACUUGAGAAUUUCCGUUUCUGUUGUUUUCCAGGGUCCUGAAAAUGGCAUUGGGCCAUUCAUAUUCCAAGAAGUAUUUCUUACUGGGAUACAGAAAAUCAACCGAAUGUUGUAUAUUGACUUUGAACCUCUAUCCGUGUUCUGCCUAUGAAUUUCCAUCUGGGCACAGAGCGAUGGGCUCCAGUUCUGUUGGAACUUCCCGCGUCGUGGCAGCGAGUGACCGGAAUAUUGAAUUUCGGCCCUUCAGCGGGGGCACCGCCAACGGGGACACCGACCCUGAAGCAAGCGGGCUCGAGCCUCCUGCGCUGCGUCCUGACGGCCGGCAGGGGGCGCGCGAACCCACCGCGGCUGGCUCGCGUGAUGCGCAUGCGUGGUCGGCCGGCGGAGGUCGGCGCCUUUUUCGGGGACCGGACAGAAGUUUCCUCCGGCCUAGUGAGGCGCUCCUGCCGCUUCGGGACAACUUGCGCCGCGUCGUCGGGGGGGGGCGCAGUUUCCUGCCCAGGCCCUGGCCGGCUGACGAGCGGCCUUGGCUGCACUUCUCCAGGACAUGUUUCUGAAGAAUCCAGCAGAUGUGGCAUGGGUCAUAAUGACCUUCAUUAUCCUCCAGUGCACAGUAAAGGCACAACUGAAGACCACGAUUGCUUCAGCAGCUUGCUUAUUCCUGGAUAUGGCAAAGGUGGUGUGUGCUUGGAUCUUGCAGCUUAUAUGUUGGCCUGCUAUGUCAGCUUCUUGAUUCACCACCUUCCUGACUGACCAGAGAUAGCAGUUUCCUUGACAGGUUAGUUUUGUGGUGGUAUACUGGGAAUUCAUUAAAGACUCAGUCUAGAGUCUGCUUUUUUGGCCCUCCCACAGUUCCAUAAACACUUAAUUUUCUGUAGUAAAUACCAUUUUGUUUUUUCAUAGCUAGAU